rnacentral:lncRNA from 1 species
AUGGGGGCAGACAUGUUUAUACCACGUGAUCCGAUCCUAAGUGCGAGGUGGCCGGAACGUGACGCAAGGUUGAGGCGAGGCUCCGCCCCCGUCCCCUGGCGUCGAGCGUCUCGUGACUGGCUCUUCCGCUCGGGGCGGCGGCGGUGGCGGAAGUGGGAGCGAGGCUGGAGCCUUGGCCAUAAAGCCCGAGGCGGUGGCGACAGCGGCCGUGUUGGAGGCUGGGAGAGCGCGACGGGACCUGCGGGAAGCAGAACUUGGUCUUCCCUGCCCGUGCCCUUCGUCGUCUCCUUCUCAGCGGGAGCCCUUGCGACACGCCGGGCCCGGAGUCCCCAGCGCAGCGGUCGCGAUUUUUAUUGUCUACUACAAGGAAACACUGCUGGCAGCCAUGGGGAAUAUAAAAUAAGAGCCCUGGAGGUUCAGGAAUUAUUGUGAAAACAGGGCAGAUGAGAGGCAUAAAAAUAACGUAAGGAAAAUGCCGAUGUUGUUUGAUGGCUGGGGUGGGUGGGGAGGGGCCGAGG